CUUGCCUUGCCGUGGAUUGUUUUUAGUUGUUUGUAUUAUUUGUGCUUUUUAAGAAUAUUUUUUUAAUUCGGAUACUUUUAUAAUAGCUUUAAUAGUAUUAUUAACAUAGUGCAUAAAAUGGUGUCCUGUUUUUAACGCAGUUGGAGUAGCAGAAACAAAUGUAGAUAAAAAAAUCUGCAGGAAUAACGUUUCAAUUAUGACAGAAGCUCAAAACAAAUGACUGUGAAUGAAAAGCCCUAUUAAAAGCUUUCCAGAAGAUCCUGCGAAGAAGACAUGAAGUAUAGAUCAGAUUUGUUAAUAGAGGAGUAUGUUCAAAACACUUUUUAGAAAAAGAUAUUGACAGAACUUCACUUUCAUCUGUUCGUUUGAGAGACUGUGCUGUUCCAAUAGCUUAUGUCACACAGAAUCAGCUGAGAGAAGUGGUCUACAAAAAACCAGAAAGGAAACGGAAUAUGUGGCUACGAAAAGCAAAAGAAAGGUUUACAAAGCAAAUGUGACACAUUUUUUUAUAAUAUUUAGGAAUGUCAGCAAAUUACAUUAAAAAAUGUAUGUAAAGAUUUUUUGCAAUAAAAAUGUUUAUAUUUAUCAA